UACGUAGGGUGCGAGCGUUAAUCGGAAUUACUGGGCGUAAAGCGUGCGCAGGCGGUUUUGUAAGACAGGCGUGAAAUCCCCGGGCUCAACCUGGGAACUGCAUCCAAAACUACUGAGCUAGAGUACGGUAGAGGGUAGUGGAAUUUCCUGUGUAGCGGUGAAAUGCGUAGAUAUAGGAAGGAACACCAGUGGCGAAGGCGACUACCUGGACUGAUACUGACACUGAGGUGCGAAAGCGUGGGGAGCAAACAGG
rnacentral:rRNA from 1 species